ensembl:lncRNA
UAUCACAUUAAGCCUCUCCCUGUAGUCACAGCUGCAGCUGCUCCAGCCAACUCAUCACACUCCACACAUGAAGCACCCUCUUGCCUCCGUGCCUUUGCUCUGUUUCCUCUUGCUUUGGCUGCUCUCACAGUUGACUAUGUCCUAUCCUCCCUACUGGAUUAUGAGGUGCCUGAGGUCAGAGUCAAAGCAUGGUCACAUCUAUUUGCCCAGUACCUACCAAGGCCCUGGACCAUGCAUGUUGGCCUGAUGAUGCAAACACAGCAGGAGUUUCUGGCUCUGCCUCUUGUGGCCAUUUGCUCGUCCCCAUGGAGCUCAGCCAUGCCUGAAGAGCCACAGAUCUUUCUUCUGCGUCACCUGGGAGAGCUGGCUGCUGGAGGGCAAUGAAUGCUUGGCCUGGGCAUUUUGAGGGUUUCCACAAGUGGGAGGAAGAUGACAAUGACUGUGGAAGGAGAGGUUGUCAUGGAAAUGCACCUUGUCCAGGUUGUUGCAACCUGGCCUCUGGGCUGGCUCCACCUGGAUGCGCCUUACACGGGGUCUUGCCUUACCAUUUGUUCAGGGAGGCGAUGGACAGAGAUAGAUGCUUCUUACCCACCAGUCUGCUGCUGCAUCUUUUUCUGUCUGAUGUGAUGAGCAGCUCAGGCUUCUCCUGUCUCCCAGCUUCUGUGAACAUCACAUGAGGUGAUGGGCGCCAAAUGAUGCUGGUGGCAGCUGUUGACUGGGUGGCUCCCUGUCCGACAGCAGAGUGGGCUGGGGGGAAGGGGACUGAUGGUUGGGGAACAUCUUCUCUGUGGCUGGACUGAGAGGCUUAUGUGUGCUGUCUCGUUGAACCUCCCAGUAGUGCUGAAGAAGCUGGAGCGUAUUGUCACCUGCUCAGAGUCCCACACCAGGGGAUGACAGUGCCUGAGCUGGUAGCCAUGCUCCGUCUGCCUUUAAAGCCCAGCCAUGUCUCCCCAUGCAUAAUUGCUCCUGGCCAGUUGGGGAACCUCAGCAAUGGCCAAGAAAUGCCAACACGAGCUCCUACUUAGGUGGCCACAUUGGCAGAGGGACUUGGCCAGCUGGAAGGCACCUACAUUGCCUCUGUCCAAGUGGGCUGGCGUGGGCCCGGGUCAUCAACUACAGGGUGGUGGGAUUCCAGUGCUCUGGGGCCUGCCGGCUGCCUCCAUGACCACCAGGCACCUCCUGGGAGGCCAGUGAUGGGAAAGAGCCCACAGCCCUGCAUGGGCAGUUCUUUCUGCUCUUGUCUUUUCCUCCUCCACCCACCUGCUAAUCUCGCUUGCACAUGAAAGUCUCCCCCCACAAUCUCCACUCCCCUCCCCGAUCCCUUCCCUGCGUUUGUACUUUAUGAUGCGGGACUUGGAGAGAAGACUCAUUAGAGUCAUUAUUACAUGCACAGAAAUAUGUCUUUCAUCUCAUUCACAUUUCAUGUUCCUCCCACUUGAUCUCUUGACGCUUUUUAAUUCCUGAUAUUACAUCACACACACACACACACACACACACACAGUUCUUGUUGGGGUUCAUUCUUUCUACAGAGUUGUCAUCAUUGCUUGCUGUCUGAGGAGUGCUCCUUGUUGUAUAUUUAUUCAUUUCUGAAAAAGAUUUGGGGAUUGACAUUGCCUGAUGCUCCUGACUUUGAUUGUAGGGGUAGGUAGCAUUGUAAUUAGAGGAGAUGUGAGGACAGAGGACCAAAGUCUAGAGCCUUGUCCCCUGUCCCCUUCCUCCCUAGAGGCCAGAUGUCCAUCUGUGAAACAGGCAGAUCCCAUCGCCUAGUUCAAUCCCCACAUCUGGCGUCAAAUGGGCUUUUUGGGGUGUAAGCACUGUUUAACUUAUGGUAAAAGGGAUAUUGGGAGGAGUCGGGGCCAUCCAUAGAACCACAGAAAAGGUUGAAAAAUCAACUCUGAUGGGCAGAGCAGGGUAGCCCGGGAACCUGGGAACUGGGUUCCCUGCUGCCUCUUUAGGCUCCAUGAUGAGGAUGAAAGGAGAUCUAAAGGCUGUCAGUUCCUCCCUUCUCAGCUCAAGGUCCCAAUGCAGGGAGAGAGUAUGGGAUCGGCUCAGCUACCAAGAUAAGAAGGAAGUGUGUUUUGACUGACAGUUUCAUUAAGAUUCCAUCUAAUCAGGGCAAGGGGUUCCCCAAAGUAAGAGGUUGUUUCCAGAAGGAGGCAGUGGAUUCUGAGUAUGUAGAACAACAGACACCAUGACACAGUCCCAACAGUGGAGGUGGUAUGACUGCUGUGCGAAGAGAGGAAGAAGCAGGUCUUUCUGGCUCUAAAUCUGUGACCAAGAGAUAUAUUUUUGGAACUCAGAGAUUGCCUUCUAAUUCGGAACUCAGGGGCUGGCAAACUUUCCCCGGAAAGGGCUAGGUAGUAACUAUUUUGGCUUUCUGGGCCAUAUGGUUUCUGCCACAAGGACUCAACUCUGCCAAGACCUGAAAGCAGCCGUAGGCAAUAUGUAAAUGAGGUGGUUUUGGCCCUGUUUCAAUAAAGUUUUAUUGAAAAAAACCCCAAGUAGCAUGUCCUGGACAUUCAGGUCAAAGUUGUUCUAGUAAGUCACCUUCAUGUCAUGGAGAAUCUCCCUCUCUGCUUUAGUAACCCUUGUAUUUCUGAUUGCGGUUCUUCAACUCGGCUCUGCUUCAGGACACUCAAGGGAGCCUGUCGUGAGCUCAUGAGCACAGAUGCCCAGGACCUGUUCAGACUUCCAGGUCAGAAUCUUCAAGGAUGGGCCCAGGGCCUGCAUGUUUAACCCAUGCCCUAGGUGGUUCUGACUUAUGUAUGCAUUGUCAUGAACUGGUCUAAGUUGUAGUCAGGGAGACAAGAUCAUCCUUCAUGAACCACAGGAGUGACAGAUGAGAUGGGGGUGGGCUUAGGAGCUGAGAGGAGGGAAGCUCCUGAGGGCUAGGGGAGAGCACGUGUGUGCAGGGUGGGCUCAAACUGGCCCUGAAGGAAGUCUGAACUGUCAGAGCACUAACCUGGCUUUUUCUAGCUGGCAGUCUCUUUCCCCAUCCUGUACUCUGCUGUUAAUUAAGAAGGAAGUUUAUUAAAAGCAGGUGCUAAACCUGAGACCUGUGGUGCUCUGCUCUGCAGCGGUCAGGUCUCUGAACAGCUUUGUGUCCUCAUCCUUCUGAAGGGGCCACACCUGUAGCCCAGCCUCACUUCUCUGCCUUCUUCCAAGUCUCCUCUUCCCCUUUCAUUUGUGCUUUGCUCCCCAAAGACCUGGUUUCUCACAACACCUCUUCUCCUUUGCCCCAGAAAACAGCCACCCAUGGCUCUUUCUGAGCGUGACCAUGUUCUGUCAAAUUCAGCUCCUUCUUGCCAUAAUCAUUAAUAGGAUUAGGAGCCUGGAUUUGGCCAAUGCCUCCCUCUGCCUGGAAGAUUUCUCCCUUCUCCAUCUCCGCCUGAGGACCCUCUGACCAUCUCCUGCACAUAUGCAGUACACUGUCUUUCCUCCAUCACAGCACUUUCUAGUUGCAUGGUCACUGCCAGGUCCCAUACUGGGACCUCUUGUAGGUCGGUGAGCAUCAGGAGGGCAGGGAGCAUGCCUGGUUCACGUAAUGUCUCCAGCACUGAGAACAUCGCUCAGCAGGGGGAAGACAACAGACUCGAUGGCUUAGCUAAAGCAAGCCUGGUACUUCCCUCAAGCAGCUUGUGGAUUGCAGAUUCCUGCCAGGCCCUCCAGAACCAGCCCAAGGUCUCUUCCCCCAGAUCUGUCUGCUCUCAGCAUUUUCUCCAAAAAGAGCCACGGGGAGGCUAUGCAAGUCAGGAGUAGAACCUGGGAGUCCUUCCAUCAGGAGCUGCAUGUCCCGUGCCUGCCGUGUUCCACACUCAGUGCCAGGGCUGGAGACACCCUCCCUGAGAUGACCCCAGCCCCGCUUUCCAGGAGCUGGGCGUCCAGGCUGGCAGGUGAGAAGCAUCCUGCCAGGCAAGGCUACCCCAGGCUUUGCCCUCAACUUCUGGAUUGUUGCACCUCUGUGUGAAUAUGCUCCCGUCCCACCUGACAUGGUGUGAUUUGGGUACCGUCCAACUUAAGAUGAAAAGAAGCCAGCCACGUGGCAAGCCGCCCUGCCGCCUCUGCUGGGGUGCCCCUCCUGCCGGCCAGGAUCUCACUCUCCCUUCUGAGUGGGGCUGUGAAGUGUCUAAUCCAGGCUUUUAUCUGGCAUCCACAAUUAUAAUGUCAAGAUUGAAUAAUCUGCCUUUAUCUUCUGGGUGACAGCCAUGUAGAAACUUCAAAAGAAACAGUAAUGCUGGCAUCUAACGGCUUUUGUUAAUUACUAUAUCCCAAAGAAAAUGAAAUAAAG